AGGGCACCACCAGGAGUGGAGCCUGCGGCUUAAUUUGACUCAACACGGGGAAACUCACCCGGCCCGGACACCGGAAGGAUUGACAGAUUGAUAGCUCUUUCUUGAUUCGGUGGAUGGUGGUGCAUGGCCGUUCUUAGUUGGUGGAGCGAUCUGUCUGGUUAAUUCCGAUAACGAACGAGACUCUAGCCUAUUAAAUAGACGUCGGGUUCUCUGCACUCGACGGUCUUCUUAGAGGGACAAGGUGCUUUUAGCACCGCGAAACAGAGCAAUAACAGGUCUGUGAUGCCCUUAGAUGUCCGGGGCCGCACGCGCGCUACACUGAAGGAAGCAGCGUGUAACAACCUUGUUCUAACGAACUGGGUAACCCGUGGAACUUCCUUCAUGACUGGGAUAGGGGUUUGCAAUUGUGCCCCUUGAACGAGGAAUUCCCAGUAAACACUAGUCAUCAGCUAGUGCUGAUUACGUCCCUGCCCUUUGUACACACCGCCCGUCGCUACUACCGAUUGAAUGGUUUAGUGA
rnacentral:rRNA from 1 species